GAUGAACGCUAGCUACAGGCUUAACACAUGCAAGUCGAGGGGCAGCAUGAACUUAGCUUGCUAAGUUUGAUGGCGACCGGCGCACGGGUGAGUAACACGUAUCCAACCUGCCGAUGACUCGGGGAUAGCCUUUCGAAAGAAAGAUUAAUACCCGAUGGCAUAGUUCUUCCGCAUGGUAGAACUAUUAAAGAACUUCGGUCAUCGAUGGGGAUGCGUUCCAUUAGGUUGUUGGCGGGGUAACGGCCCACCAAGCCUUCGAUGGAUAGGGGUUCUGAGAGGAAGGUCCCCCACAUUGGAACUGAGACACGGUCCAAACUCCUACGGGAGGCAGCAGUGAGGAAUAUUGGUCAAUGGGCGUAAGCCUGAACCAGCCAAGUCGCGUGAGGGAUGAAGGUUCUAUGGAUCGUAAACCUCUUUAUAAGGGAAUAAAGUGUAGGACGUGUCCUAUUUUGUAUGUACCUUAUGAAUAAGGAUCGGCUAACUCCGUGCCAGC
rnacentral:rRNA from 1 species